rnacentral:rRNA from 1 species
UUAGAGUUUGAUCCUGGCUCAGGACGAACGCUGGCGGUGUGCCUAACGCAUGCAAGUCGAACGGAGUUAUUUAAGAAGAUUCUUCGGAUGAUUUUUUUCUAACUUAGUGGCGGACGGGUGAGUAACGCGUGAGCAACCUGCCUUUCAGAGGGGGAUAACAUUUUGAAAAAGAUGCUAAUACCGCAUAACGUAUUUUUAACGCAUGUUAGAAAUACCAAAGGAUUUAUUCACUGAAAGAUGGGCUCGCGUCCGAUUAGAUAGUUGGUGAGGUAAUGGCUCACCAAGUCGACGAUCGGUAGCCGGACUGAGAGGUUGAACGGCCACAUUGGGACUGAGACACUGCCCAGACUCCUACGGGAGGCAGCAGCGAGGGAUAUUGGGCAAUGGGGGAAACCCUGACCCAGCAACACCGCGUGAGGGAUGACGGUUUUCGGAUUGUAAACCUCUGUCCUCUGUGAAGAUAAUGACGGUAGCAGAGGAGGAAGCUCCGGCUAACUAUGUGCCAGCAGCCGCGGUAAUACAUAGGGAGCAAGCGUUGUCCGGAUUUACUGGGUGUAAAGGGUGCGUAGGCGGCUUUGUAAGUCAGAAGUGAAAUCUAUGGGCUCAACCCAUAAACUGCUUUUGAAGCUAUAGAGCUUGAGUGAUGUAGAGGUAGGUGGAAUUCCCGGUGUAGCGGUGGAAUGCGUAGAGAUCGGGAGGAACACCAGUGGCGAAGGCGACCUACUGGGCAUUAACUGACGCUGAGGCACGAAAGCGUGGGUAGCAAACAGGAUUAGAUACCCUGGUAGUCCACGCCGUAAACGAUGAUUACUAGGUGUGGGGGGACUGACCCCCUCCGUGCCGGAGUUAACACAAUAAGUAAUCCACCUGGGGAGUACGACCGCAAGGUUGAAACUCAAAGGAAUUGACGGGGGCCCGCACAGCAGUGAGUAUGUGGUUUAUUCGAGCACGCGAGACCUUACCAGGUCUGACAUCUACUAACGAAGCAGAGAUGCAUUAGUGCCCUUCGGGGAAAGUAGACAGUGUGCAUGCUGUCGUCAGCUCGUGUCGUGAGAUGUGGUAGUCCCGCACGAGCGCACCCUUGUCUUUAGUGCUACGCAGAGCACCUCUAAGAGACUGCGUGACAAACCGAGAAGGUGGGACCACUCAUCAUCACGGCCCAUAGACUGGCUAACACGGUACUACAAUGGCCGUUACGGAAGAGAGCCCAUACA